rnacentral:rRNA from 1 species
UGGGGAAUAUUGCACAAUGGGCGCAAGCCUGAUGCAGCCAUGCCGCGUGUAUGAAGAAGGCCUUCGGGUUGUAAAGUACUUUCAGCAGUGAGGAAGGGGGUGUCGUUAAUAGCGGCAUUUCUUGACGUUAGCUGCAGAAGAAGCACCGGCUAACUCCGUGCCAGCAGCCGCGGUAAUACGGAGGGUGCGAGCGUUAAUCGGAAUUACUGGGCGUAAAGCGCAUGCAGGUGGUUUGUUAAGUCAGAUGUGAAAGCCCGGGGCUCAACCUCGGAACUGCAUUUGAAACUGGCAAACUAGAGUACUGUAGAGGGGGGUAGAAUUUCAGGUGUAGCGGUGAAAUGCGUAGAGAUCUGAAGGAAUACCAGUGGCGAAGGCGGCCCCCUGGACAGAUACUGACACUCAGAUGCGAAAGCGUGGGGAGCAAACAGG